GGCUUGAUGGUCUAGUAGCAUGAUACUCCCUUCGGGUUACACCCGGCCUUUGGCCAAAAUUGGGAGUGGUCCCGGGUUCAAUUCCCGGUCAGGCCC